rfam:Metarhizium robertsii ARSEF 23 MAA_Scf_18, whole genome shotgun sequence.
ACCAAGAUGGCCGAGGGGUUAAGGCGGUGGACUUAAGCCAUUUUUGGCAUAAUUUCCACUAUCGAGAGAUUCCUGGGUUCGAACCCCAGUCUUGGUA